rnacentral:rRNA from 1 species
UACGAAGGGGGCUAGGGUUGCUCGGAAUCACUGGGCGUAAAGCGCACGUAGGCGGAUUGCUAAGUCAGGGGUGAAAUCCUGGAGCUCAACUCCAGAACUGCCUUUGAUACUGGCGAUCUCGAGUCCGGGAGAGGUGAGUGGAACUGCGAGUGUAGAGGUGAAAUUCGUAGAUAUUCGCAAGAACACCAGUGGCGAAGGCGGCUCACUGGCCCGGUACUGACGCUGAGGUGCGAAAGCGUGGGGAGCAAACAGG